rnacentral:pre_miRNA from 1 species
AAAAUACUCCCUCCGUCCCAAAAUUCUUGUCUUAUAUUUGUCUAGAUACGGAUGUAUCUAACACUAAAAUGUAACUAGAUACAUCCGUAUUUAGACAAAUCUAAGACAAGAAUUUUGGGACGGAGGGAGUAAAAU